GGGGGUAUAGCUCAGUGGUAGAGCAUUUGACUGCAGAUCAAGAGGUCCCCUCAUUUAGCUGACUCCCA